UACGUAGGGUGCGAGCGUUGUCUGGAAUUAUUGGGCGUAAAGAGCUCGUAGGCGGUCUGUCGCGUCCGUUGUGAAAACUCGAGGCUCAACCUCGGGCUUGCAGUGGAUACGGGCAGACUAGAGUGCGGUAGGGGAGACUGGAAUUCCUGGUGUAGCGGUGAAAUGCGCAGAUAUCAGGAAGAACACCCGUGGCGAAGGCGGCUCUCUGGGACGGUACUGACGCUGAGACGCGAAAGCGUGGGGAGCGAACAGG
rnacentral:rRNA from 1 species